AACUACACAUAAGAGGUCCUGCCUGCCCUGUGACCCCUGGUUCAACGGCCGCGGUAUUUUGACCGUGCAAAGGUAGCGCAAUCACUUGUCUCUUAAAUGAGGACCUGUAUGAAUGGCACGACGAGGGCUUAACUGUCUCCUUUCCCCGGUCAGUGAAAUUGAUCUUCCCGUGCAGAAGCGGGAAUCCUAACAUAAGACGAGAAGACCCUAUGGAGCUUUAGACUUCAGAACAGAUCAUGUAAGCUACCCCCGUGAAAUGGGUAAUAACUAUUGAAUUUCUGUUCCCCUGUCUUUGGUUGGGGCGACCACGGGGAAGAAAAAAACCCCCAUGUGGACCAGGAGCACAUUACUCCUACAACCAUGAGCCACAGCUCUAAUGCACAAAAUUUUUGACCAUUAGAUCCGGCAAAGCCGAUCAACGGACCAAGUUACCCUAGGGAUAACAGCGCAAUCCCCUUUAAGAGUCCAUAUCGACAAGGGGGUUUACGACCUCGAUGUUGGAUCAAGACAUCCUAAUGGUGCAGCCGCUAUUAAGGGUUCGUUUGUUCAACGAUUAAAGUCUU
rnacentral:rRNA from 1 species